CAACGAGCGCAACCCUUGUUUGCUGUUGCCAUCAGGUAAUGCUGGGCACUCUGCAAAGACUGCCGGUGAUAAACCGGAGGAAGGUGGGGAUGACGUCAAGUCAGCAUGGCCUUUAUGUCUGGGGCUACACACGUGCUACAAUGGCCGGUACAAACCGUCGCAAAACCGCAAGGUGGAGCUAAUCGGAGAAAGCCGGUCUCAGUUCGGAUAGCUGGGAGGGCCCAUCCUGCUUGAAGUUGGAAUCGCUAGUAAUCGC
rnacentral:rRNA from 1 species